rnacentral:rRNA from 1 species
AAAAAAGGUAAGCUACUAAGAGCGAAUGGUGGAUGCCUUGACUGGUAAAGGCGAUGAAGGACGUACUAGACUGCGAUAAGCUACGGGGAGCUGUCAAGAAGCUUUGAUCCGUAGAUUUCCGAAUGGGGCAACCCAAUGUAUAGAGAUAUACAUUACCUAUAUAGGAGCGAACGAGGGGAAUUGAAACAUCUUAGUACCCUCAGGAAAAGAAAUCAAUAGAGAUUGCGUCAGUAGCGGCGAGCGAAAGCGCAAGAGGGCAAACCCAGUGCUUGCACUGGGGGUUGUAGGACUGCAAUGUGCAAGAGGUGAGUUUAGCAGAACAUUCUGGAAAGUAUAACCAUAGAGGGUGAUAGUCCCGUAUGCGAAAAACAAACCUUAGCUAGCAGUAUCCUGAGUAGGGCGGGACACGAGGAAUCCUGUCUGAAUCUGGGUCGACCACGAUCCAACCCUAAAUACUAAUACCAGAUCGAUAGUGCACAAGUACCGUGAGGGAAAGGUGAAAAGAACUGAGGUGAUCAGAGUGAAAUAGAACCUGAAACCAUUUGCUUACAAUCAUUCAGAGCCCUAUGUAGCAAUACAGGGUGAUGGACUGCCUUUUGCAUAAUGAGCCUGCGAGUUGUGGUGUCUGGCAAGGUUAAGCAAACGCGAAGCCGUAGCGAAAGCGAGUCUGAAUAGGGCGCUUAGUCAGAUGCUGCAGACCCGAAACGAAGUGAUCUAUCCAUGAGCAAGUUGAAGCUAGUGUAAGAACUAGUGGAGGACUGAACCCAUAGGCGUUGAAAAGCCCCGGGAUGACUUGUGGAUAGGGGUGAAAGGCCAAUCAAACUUCGUGAUAGCUGGUUCUCUCCGAAAUAUAUUUAGGUAUAGCGUUGUGUCGUAAUAUAAGGGGGUAGAGCACUGAAUGGGCUAGGGCAUACACCAAUGUACCAAACCCUAUCAAACUCCGAAUACCUUAUAUGUAAUCACAGCAGUCAGGCGGCGAGUGAUAAAAUCCGUCGUCAAGAGGGAAACAACCCAGACUACCAGCUAAGGUCCCUAAAUCUUACUUAAGUGGAAAACGAUGUGAAGUUACUUAAACAACCAGGAGGUUGGCUUAGAAGCAGCCAUCCUUUAAAGAAAGCGUAAUAGCUCACUGGUCUAGUGAUUUUGCGCGGAAAAUAUAACGGGGCUAAAGUAAGUACCGAAGCUGUAGACUUGCGCACAACUUAGAUUAUUUAAGUUUAGAAUAUGAGAAACUAAGUUAUAUGUUUAGUUAUAUUUUUACUGAUUUUUAUAGAGUAAAGAUAGAAAUAAAACUUAGUAAAAUCAGUAAAAAUAUUCUUAGACUAAAGUUAAGUAGUUUAAGUUGUGUGCAAGUGGUAGGAGAGCGUUCUAUUUGCGUCGAAGGUAUACCGGUAAGGAGUGCUGGAGCGAAUAGAAGUGAGCAUGCAGGCAUGAGUAGCGAUAAUUAAUGUGAGAAUCAUUAACGCCGUAAACCCAAGGUUUCCUACGCGAUGCUCGUCAUCGUAGGGUUAGUCGGGUCCUAAGUCGAGUCCGAAAGGGGUAGACGAUGGCAAAUUGGUUAAUAUUCCAAUACCAACAUUAGUGUGCGAUGGAAGGACGCUUAGGGCUAAGGGGGCUAGCGGAUGGAAGUGCUAGUCUAAGGUCGUAGGAGGUUAUACAGGCAAAUCCGUAUAACAAUACUCCGAGAACUGAAAGGCUUUUUGAAGUCUUCGGAUGGAUAGAAGAACCCCUGAUGCCGUCGAGCCAAGAAAAGUUUCUAAGUUUAGCUAAUGUUGCCCGUACCGUAAACCGACACAGGUGGGUGGGAUGAGUAUUCUAAGGCGCGUGGAAGAACUCUCUUUAAGGAACUCUGCAAAAUAGCACCGUAUCUUCGGUAUAAGGUGUGGUUCGCUUCGUAUUAGGAUUUACUCCGAAAGCGAAGAAACUUACAACAAAGAGUCCCUCCCGACUGUUUACCAAAAACACAGCACUCUGCUAACUCGUAAGAGGAUGUAUAGGGUGUGACGCCUGCCCGGUGCUCGAAGGUUAAUUGAUGGGGUUAGCAUUAGCGAAGCUCUUGAUCGAAGCCCGAGUAAACGGCGGCCGUAACUAUAACGGUCCUAAGGUAGCGAAAUUCCUUGUCGGUUAAAUACCGACCUGCAUGAAUGGCGUAACGAGAUGGGAGCUGUCUCAAAGAGGGAUCCAGUGAAAUUGUAGUGGAGGUGAAAAUUCC